AAUCAACGCUGGCGGCGUGCCUAACACAUGCAAGUCGAACGCGAGAGGGGCUUCGGCCCCGAUUGAGUGGCGAACGGGUGAGUAACACGUGGGUGACCUACCUUCGAGUGGGGAGUAACGUCCCGAAGGGACGCUAAUACCGCAUAACAUUCCGCUUUUGUAACAAAGUGGAAAUACAAGGCCGGGGAUCGUAAGACCUGGCGCUUGAAGAGGGGCCCG
rnacentral:rRNA from 1 species